UACGUAGGUGGCAAGCGUUGUCCGGAAUUACUGGGUGUAAAGGGUGUGUAGGCGGGUUGGCAAGUCAGAUGUCAAAAUUAUGUGCUCAACGCAUAAGCGCAUUUGAAACUUCCGAUCUUGAGUGCGGGAGAGGUAAGCGGAAUUCCCAGUGUAGCGGUAAAAUGCGUAGAUAUUGGGAGGAACACCAGUGGCGAAGGCGGCUUACUGGACCGUAACUGACGCUGAGACACGAAAGCGUGGGGAGCAAACAGG
rnacentral:rRNA from 1 species